GAGUUUGAUCAUGGCUCAGAUUGAACGCUGGCGGCAGGCCUAACACAUGCAGGUCGAGCGGAUGACGGGAGCUUGCUCCUUGAUUCAGCGGCGGACGGGUGAGUAAUGCCUAGGAAUCUGCCUGGUAGUGGGGGACAACGUUUCGAAAGGAACGCUAAUACCGCAUACGUCCUACGGGAGAAAGCAGGGGACCUUCGGGCCUUGCGCUAUCAGAUGAGCCUAGGUCGGAUUAGCUAGUUGGUGGGGUAAUGGCUCACCAAGGCGACGAUCCGUAACUGGUCUGAGAGGAUGAUCAGUCACACUGGAACUGAGACACGGUCCAGACUCCUACGGGAGGCAGCAGUGGGGGAAUAUUGGACAAUGGGCGAAAGCCUGAUCCAGCCAUGCCGCGUGUGUGAAGAAGGUCUUCGGAUUGUAAAGCACUUUAAGUUGGGAGGAAGGGCAGUAAGUUAAUACCUUGCUGUUUUGACGUUACCGACAGAAUAAGCACCGGCUAACUCUGUGCCAGCCGCCG
rnacentral:rRNA from 1 species